rnacentral:rRNA from 1 species
UACAGAGGGUGCGAGCGUUGUCCGGAUUUAUUGGGCGUAAAGAGCUCGUAGGCGGCUCGUUGCGUCGGCUGUGAAAACCCGCAGCUCAACUGUGGGCUUGCAGCCGAUACGGGCGGGCUGGGAUUCGGUAGGGGAGACUGGAAUUCCUGGUGUAGCGGUGAAAUGCGCAGAUAUCAGGAGGAACACCGGUGGCGGAGGCGGGUCUCUGGGCCGAUAUCGACGCUGAGGAGCGAAAGCGUGGGGAGCGAACAGG